rnacentral:rRNA from 1 species
UACGUAGGGGGCAAGCGUUGUCCGGAAUUAUUGGGCGUAAAGCGCGCGCAGGCGGUUUCUUAAGUCUUGUGUUUAAUCCCGAGGCUCAACCUCGGUUCGCAUGGGAAACUGGGAGACUGGAGUGCAGGAGAGGAAAGUGGAAUUCCACGUGUAGCGGUGAAAUGCGUAGAGAUGUGGAGGAACACCAGUGGCGAAGGCGACUUUCUGGCCUGUAACUGACGCUGAGGCGAGAAAGCGUGGGGAGCAAACAGG